rnacentral:lncRNA from 1 species
GAAUUACUUCUUCAACAUUAUCUUUCUAAAAGCUUACAUUGCACAUGGUAUCAGAGCUCUAGGAGAUACGAUCCUAGGGUUUCUUUUGAUCUAAAUCUUUAAUCAAGACAGUUUCUAGUCUUAUUUGUUUUCUUUUAUAGUACAAUUUUCUACUAUGGUGGUUAUUGAUGAUUCAUCAAUUAGUGGAGAGAACAACACUGCUACUCGAGUUCGCGAUGGAGUGAAUGCAAAUUUGCAUCAACUGCGGAAUGCAAAUACACCUAAUGCUGCUUUGGUUAGUAAUCUACUUACUGAAAAUAACUACUUGUGCUGGAGUAGAUCCUUUAAGCUUGCUCUUGGUGCUAAAGAUAAGCUAGGGUUUAUAAAUGGAGAUGUUUCUAAACCUAAUUCGAAUGGUGCACAGUGUAAAAAUUGGAAGAAAUGUGAUUGUAUGGUUGCAUCUUGGAUUUUGAAUUCAAUAGCUAAGGAUUUAGCAUAUGGUUUCAUGUAUAUAGCGACUGCAAAAGAACUAUGGGAGGAAAUAGCUAAGAGAUUUGGGGAAGAGUAACAGACCUUUAGAGUAUCAUAUUCAAAGAGAGAUUUGUUAUACUAUACAAAAUAAUUUUUUGAUUGCAAUAUAUUAUACCAAAUUGAAGAAGUUAUAGGAUGAUUUGAAUUCAGUUAUGCCUAUGCCACAAUGUUCCUGUAAUUUGUGCACUUGUGAUAUGGAAAAGAAGCUUUUGGCUUUAUCUAGCAGAAUUUGAAUUAUGCAAUUUCUAAUGGGUCUAAUGACAGUUUCGAGCAUGUAAGGAAUCAAAUUUUGCUUAUGGAUCUAUUACCUAGUAUUGACAAAGUGUAUUCAAUGUUACUAAGGGUUGAAAAACAAAGAUCUGUUACUAAUUUAAUGUCUGAUUUAGGUGAGAAUUCUGCUAUGAUGGUUAAAUCACAAUACUAUAGGAAAUAUUUUGGAGAGAAUAAAGGCAUUGUACUUAUUGCAAGAGAGAUGAGCAUACCAAGAAAAGUUGUUUUAAACUGGUUGGAUAUCCAGAUUGGUGGCCGAAAGGAUCUCAGGAAGCUAGUGACCAAAAGAAAGAUGCAAAAACAUAUAAUGACUAGAAUAAGGGGAAAUUACAAUAAAAAUAUGCAGCUCAAGCAACAACACAAGAAUCAUUCACAAUCCUUUUGAUGAAGAUCCUAAUAAUAUAGCUAAAAUCAUGCAGAUCUCAGUACUAUAAUCACCAGNNNUAAUUCCAUACCUGAACACUAAUAAUAAAUAUUGUAUCUUAUGUUGCACACAUAGGAUUUGUCCAAUUACAUUCCAAAUUGAUUUUACAAAAGGUGCUACAUGUGCCUAGUUUUAAGCAUAAUCUAUUAUCUAUCAGCAAAUUGACAACUUAUGAACACAUCAAAUUUACUUUUCGUUCUAAUGAUUGCAUUUUUCAGGACCAAUAGGGCAAUGAAGUUGUUUAUAUUGGAGAGGCAGCUAAUAGUCUAUAUAGACUAAAUGCUAGUAGCUUUGUUUUUAACCAUUAACUUCUUUGGAAAACAUCUUUUAUAAGUGUUGGCAAAAGAAAUUAGUUUUCCACUUGUCCGCUGAGCUGGUGUAUUAGAUUGCUGACUCAUAACAUUUGUCCCCUCCUUCACAGAGCGUUUGACCUCAAACGCAAAUUCAAGAUAUUGGAGUUCCAUUAUGGCAGAUGACUCCCAUGAAGCAUCCGUUGGAGAUAACCCAUCCCAAUGAAUCAGAAUUUGGAUG